rnacentral:rRNA from 1 species
UAGGGAAUAUUGGACAAUGGGGGCAACCCUGAUCCAGCCAUGCCGCGUGAGUGAAGAAGGCCCUCGGGUUGUAAAGCUCUUUUGUCCGGAAAGAAAAGCAUUCGGUGAAUACCCGGAUGUUCUGACGGUACCGGAAGAAUAAGCACCGGCUAACUUCGUGCCAGCAGCCGCGGUAAUACGAAGGGUGCAAGCGUUACUCGGAAUUACUGGGUGUAAAGCGUGCGUAGGUGGUUGUUUAAGUCUUAUGUGAAAGCCCUGUGCUCAACCUGGGAAUGGCAGUGGAACCUGGGCUGCUAGAGUGCGGUAGAGGGUAGUGGAAUUCCCGGUGUAGCAGUGAAAUUCGUAUAGAUCGGGAUGAAGAUCUGUGGCGAAGGCGACUGCCUGGACCAGCACUGACACUG